AAUGUUGGACAAUGGGGGAAACCCUGAUCCAGCCAUCCCGCGUGUAUGAUGAAGGCCUUCGGGUUGUAAAAUACUUUUGGCAGAAAAGACAAGGUAUCUCCUAAUACGAGAUACUGCGUACGGCAUCUGCAGCAUAAGCACCGGCUAACUACGUGCCAGCACCCGCGGUAAUACGUAGGGUGCAAGCGUUAAUCGGAAUUACUGGGCGGAAAGCGUGUGUAGGCGGUUCGGAAAGAAAGAUGUGAAAUCCCAGGGCUCAACCUUGGAACUGCAUUUUUAACUGCCGAGCUAGAGUAUGUCAGAGGGGGGUAGAAUUCCACGUGUAGCAGUGAAAUGCGUAGAUAUGUGGAGGAAUACCGAUGGCGAAGGCAGCCCCCUGGGAUAAUACUGACGCUCAGACACGAAAGCGUGGGGAGCAAACAGG
rnacentral:rRNA from 1 species